GCUAAACGCGAAGAACCUUACCAGGCCUUGACAUGCAGAGAACUUUCCAGAGAUGGAUUGGUGCCUUCGGGAACUCUGACACAGGUGCUGCAUGGCUGUCGUCAGCUCGUGUCGUGAGAUGUUGGGUUAAGUCCCGCAACGAGCGCAACCCUUAUUGACAGUUGCCAAUAUUAAGUUAGGAACUCUGUCAAGACUGCCGUUGAUAAAACGGAGGAAGGUGGGGACGAUGUCAAGUCAUCAUGGCCUUUAUGUUCAGGGCUACACACGUGCUACAAUGGAUGGUACAAAACGUCGCAAUCCUGCAAAGGGGAGCUAAUCGCAAAACCAUUCUCAGUUCGGAUCGGAGUCUGCAACUCGACUCCGUGAAGUUGGAAUCGCUAGUAAUCGCAAAUCAGCAUGUUGCGGUGAAUACGUUCCCGGGUCUUGUACACACCG
rnacentral:rRNA from 1 species